rnacentral:lncRNA from 13 species
CCUACUACUACAUCCUACUACAUCAUCCUACUACUACAGCCUACUACUACAUCCUACUACUACAUCCUACUACAUCAUCCUACUACAACAUCAUACAACUACAUCCCACUACUAUAUCCCACUGCUACAUCCUACUACUACAGCCUACUACUACAUCCUACUACUACAUCCUACUACAUCAUCCUACUACUACAGCCUACUACUACAUCAUACUACUACAGCCUACUACUACAUCCUACUACAACAUCAUACAACUACAUCCCACUACUAUAUCCCACUGCUACAUCCUACUACUACAGGCUACUACCACGUCCUACUACUUCCUACUACUACAGCCUAAUACUACAUCCUACUACUACAUCAUACUNNNNNNNNNNGCUACAUCCUACUACUACAUCCUACUACAUCAUCCUACUACUACAGCCUACUACUACAUCCUACUACUACAUCCUACUACAUCAUCCUACUACAACAUCAUACAACUACAUCCCACUACUAUAUCCCACUGCUACAUCCUACUACUACAGCCUACUACUACAUCCUACUACUACAUCCUACUACAUCAUCCUACUACUACAGCCUACUACUACAUCAUACUACUACAGCCUACUACUACAUCCUACUACAACAUCAUACAACUACAUCCCACUACUAUAUCCCACUGCUACAUCCUACUACUACAGGCUACUACCACGUCCUACUACUUCCUACUACUACAGCCUAAUACUACAUCCUACUACUACAUCAUACUGCUAUAUCCUACUGCUACAUUCUACUACUACAGCCUACUACCACGCCCUACUACUACAUCCUACUACUGCAUUCUACUACUACAUCCUACUACUGCAUUCUACUACUACAUCCUACUACUACAGCCUAAUAGUACAGCCUAAUACUACAUCCUACUACUACAUCCUACUACUAUGUUCUACUACUACAGCCUACUACUACAGCCUACUACUACAGCCUACUACUACAUCGUACUACUACUUCCCACUACUGUAUCCCACUGCUACAUCCUACUACAUCCUGCUACUACUACAGCCUACUACUACAGUCUACCAAGUAAAAGUCAUGCAUCUUUACACAGUGUUUUGGGGCACAUGCUUUUUAUUUACAUUCACUAUGUGUAGUGUCAACAUUCCUUGGCACUGCUGCUGCUGUUGUUGA